GGCGGCCGAGGUGGAUGGACCGCUUAAACGGCUGCUCGUGCCGAUUCUUUUACCUGAGAAAUGCUACGACCAACUUUUCGUUCAGUGGGACUUGCUUCACGUCCCCUGCCUCAAGAUUCUCCUCAGCAAAGGCCUGGGGCUGGGCAUUGUGGCUGGCUCACUUCUAGCUGCCCCAGGUGUUUAAAAUCCUGGGAGCCAAGAGUGCCGAAGGGUUGAGUCUCCAGUCUGUAAUGCUGGAGCUAGUGGCAUUGACUGGGACCAUGGUCUACAGCAUCACUAACAACUUCCCAUUCAGCUCUUGGGGUGAAGCCUUAUUCCUGAUGCUCCAGACGAUCACCAUCUGCUUCCUGGUCAUGCAUUACAGAGGACAGACUGUGAAAGGUGUCGCUUUCCUCGCUUGCUACGGCCUGGUCCUUCUGGUGCUUCUCUCACCUCUGACGCCCUUGACUGUAGUCACCCUGCUCCAGGCCUCCAAUGUGCCUGCUGUGGUGGUGGGGAGGGUGGGUACCAGGAGCAAGGGACAAGAUGUUGGGGGGGCAGGGUGGAGGGGAAGAGUGGAAGAUCAAAGUGUGGGGGUGUUGGACUUGGGGGAGCAUGGGAAGAGCUCAGGUGACAGAGCCAAAGGUCUCAACUCCUCCCCUAGCUUCUCCAGGCAGCCACCAACUACCACAAUGGGCACACAGGCCAGCUUUCAGCCAUCACAGUCUUCCUGCUGUUUGGGGGCUCCCUGGCCCGAAUCUUCACUUCCAUUCAGGAAACCGGAGAUCCCCUAAUGGCUGGGACCUUUGUGGUCUCCUCUCUCUGCAACGGCCUCAUCGCCGCCCAGCUGCUCUUCUACUGGAAUGCAAAGCCUCCCCACAAGCAGAAAAAGGCGCAGUAGAGCCAGCUACUGGAGUCAUUCCAUUUCCACUCAUUCACCCAACC
rnacentral:sRNA from 1 species